rnacentral:misc_RNA from 1 species
AAAAAACAAACAGAGUCUUAACCCUAGUUCUACUCUCUCGGUCUCUCCUCUACAAUUCAGAUGGUGGAUCUGCAAUGCCUUCAAAGCUUCCUACUACAAUCCCUUGCCUCAUCUUCCUCUCCGUCCUCCUCCUCUACCUCUAUUCCACUUCGCUCCUCCCUUACUCCUCUACAUCCAUCACCACACUUUCUCCUUCUACAACUUGCAAUCUCUUCGAAGGCCACUGGGUCUUAGACCCUGAGGCCCCCAAACCCUUUUACGAUGAGUCCUGCCCAUUUCAUAGAAACGCCUGGAACUGCCUUAGGAACAACAGAGACAACAUGGGUCUCAUCAAUUCCUGGAAAUGGGUGCCCCAAAAAUGCAAUUUGCCACGGAUUGAUCCGCAGAGAUUUCUAGGGCUAAUGAGAAAUAGGAACAUUGGAUUUGUUGGCGAUUCUUUAAAUGAGAAUUUUUUGGUGUCGUUUUUGUGUAUUCUUAGAGUGGCUGAUGCUGGUGCGAAGAGGUGGAAAAAGAAGGGGGCUUGGAGAGGUGCUUAUUUCCCUAAAUUCAAUGUCACCGUGGCAUAUCACCGGGCUGUUUUGCUCUCCAAAUAUCAGUGGCAGCCAAAACAGUCUGCAGUUGCGAAUGAUGGACUGAAGGGAAUGUAUCGUGUAGAUGUUGACAUACCUGCAGAUGAAUGGGCCACGAUCAAUGAUUUUUAUGAUGUUCUUAUAUUUAAUACUGGGCAUUGGUGGGGCCAUGACAAAUUUCCAAAAGAG